AUUUUAGAGGAUGUGCUACUGUGAAGGCUUAGAUAAAACGGAAGGAAAGAUCCUGCUAUUACUUCUCAAUGGAGAUCCUAAAGCCUUUAGCACUUGAGAGCUGAAUCAAAGGCCAACUGAAGUGAGAGUUUAAGGCUUUUGCUGCUGUAGGAUGUGAUGCUUCUGAGGCACCUUACUGUAUGUAAGAAAGCCACAGCAAUGAAAAUCAAAUCAGACACAUCCAUGAGACCAUUUACUGCUUUCAGCUCAAAUGGGAAGGACAGCAGGAAGAGAAGGAUAUGCCCUUCUAGCUUGACACUUGUCAGGAAAGUCCUCAAACCUCAUGAAUACAGGGAAAAAGGUAUAAAAUGUUUACAUAUGGCAAGAAGAGUCAAGGAUCGUUGGGAACUGUGCCUUGUGUGAAAGUCACAGCGUCAUCAUUCUUUAUGGGUUACAGCCAUAUUCAGUUAUUUUGCUUUUCUGAACAAUUGUUGAAAUCUUUUGAUGUAUGCCAUAUAACAAUUUUGUUCUUAUUUCUUUGUCUUUAGUUUCCUAACCACAUAUUGUAAAUUUGUGAAACAAA